rnacentral:rRNA from 1 species
AUUGAACGCUGGCGGCAGGCCUAACACAUGCAAGUCGAGCGGAUGAAGGGAGCUUGCUCCUGGAUUCAGCGGCGGGCGGGUGUGUAAUGCCUAGGAAUCUGCCUGGUAGUGGGGGAUAACGUCCGGAAACGGGCGCUAAUACCGCAUACGUCCUGAGGGAGAAAGUGGGGGAUCUUCGGACCUCACGCUAUCAGAUGAGCCUAGGUCGGAUUAGCUAGUUGGUGGGGUAAAGGCCUACCAAGGCGACGAUCCGUAACUGGUCUGAGAGGAUGAUCAGUCACACUGGAACUGAGACACGGUCCAGACUCCUACGGGAGGCAGCAGUGGGGAAUAUUGGACAAAGAGCGAAAGCCUGAUCCAGCCAUGCCGCGUGUUUGAAGAAGGUCUUCGGAUUGUAAAGCACUUUAAGUUGGGAGGAAGGGCAGUAAGUUAAUACCUUGCUGUUUUGACGUUACCAACAGAAUAAGCACCGGCUAACUUCGUG